GCAGUCGAGCGCGAAAGUGGGCUUCGGCCCACGAGUAGAGCGGCGCACGGGCUGAGNAACGCGCNGGGUGAUCUACCUUCGAGUGGGGAAUAACACCGGGAAACUGGUGCUAAUACCGCAUAACAUCCUCGGUUCGUUCCGAGGAUCAAAGCUGGGGACCGCAAGGCCUGGCGCUUGAUGAGGAGCCCGCGUCCGAUUAGCUUGUUGGCGGGGUAAUGGCCCACCAAGGCUUCGAUCGGUAGCCGGCCUGAGAGGGCGGACGGCCACACUGGAACUGAGACACGGUCCAGACUCCUACGGGAGGCAGCAGUGGGGAAUUUUUGUCAAUGGGGGAAACCCUGAACAAGCAACGCCGCGUGGAGGAUGAAGGCCCUCGGGUCGUAAACUCCUGUCGAUCGGGAAGAAUGCACUCGGCCCAAUACGCCGUUGUGUUGACUGUACCGGUGGAGGAAGCCACGGCUAACUCUGUGCCAGCAGCCGCGGUAAGACAGAGGUGGCAAGCGUUGUUCGGAAUUACUGGGCGUAAAGGGCGCGCAGGCGGCCCGUCAAGUCCCGUGUGAAAGCCCCCGGCUCAACUGGGGAACUGCGCGGGAAACUAGCGGACUUGAGUUCGGGAGAGGGAAGCGGAAUUCCGGGUGUAGCGGUGAA
rnacentral:rRNA from 1 species